CACAGAGACUUCAGCAUGAAUGGUCCUCCAUGUAGUUAUGCAAACUGAUGGACCUCUCCUUACUCUAAACCAUCUGAGGACUUUACGUUAUAUUAAGUACUUUAUUCUCAAAACAAUAUAGAGAAACGCAUGUGCACAAAGACCUUGAAAGAGAAAACUUGAUCAUUACAAAACUCAUUAAAUAUCAUCGAGCUGAAAGCAAGAAUGUGUUAUCUUUUCAUACUGCAUCUUGGCUGCCUCUGAAGUAACAAAGAAAAUUUUUGUUUUUGCUUGUUUCUUUUAAAGUACGGCUCUGAGGAAAUGAUUUCUGUAAUAAUUAAGGAUCCCAGUCAUUGGAUUUAGAGCUCACCAUAAAUCCAGGAUGAUCCAUUUCAAGAUCCUUAAAAACAUCUGCAAAAACCCUAUUUCCAAAUAAGGUAACA